rnacentral:tRNA from 1 species
CAAAUUAGAGCUUGUUGAAGUAUUUUAUUUACAUUAAAAAGAAAAUUAUUAAUUUAAUUUAAUUU